rnacentral:lncRNA from 1 species
GGAUGCAGAGAUUAUUUUAAUGGUGUAAUUUUGAACUGAUUGUCACAGGAAGAAGAGCAGAACAAGUAACAGGAUCCCUGCUUGAAUGGGCUGAUUUUGCUCAGAGGUGCCAGUUACAGCAGUCCAAUGAAGUACAGUUCAGCACAAUGGCUUUGCCCAGGUCGUUAAGGAGACUGAUGUAAAUGAUUCACAUCCCAUGGAUUUGCUUAGGAGACCACCACUUCAGGGUGAGAUCUGAUUUGAUUGUAUCUUUGCAUCCUUGCAAAAUCUACCACGUCCUGAAGCACUCAUAUGCCCAAAUGGCAACAGAGGCAUGGUGCUUUGGUCCUGGCAGAAGCCAGAGUUUAUGUGCUGUUUUAGAAAGUGCCUGUCCUGUAUUUCAAGGAUCAGCCCUUUCCCAUGGAGCAGAUCUGCUGCCACAAGGAACCAUACUGUAUCUUCC